rnacentral:rRNA from 1 species
UUAAGCAUAUCAAUAAGCGGAGGAAAAGAAACUAACAAGGAUUCCCCUAGUAACGGCGAGUGAAGCGGGAUGAGCUCAAAUUUAAAAUCUGGCAGUCUAAGAUUGUCCGAGUUGUAGUCUAGAGAAGCGUUUUCCGCGUAGGCCUGUGUACAAGUCCCUUGGAAUAGGGCGUCAUAGAGGGUGAGAAUCCCGUCCUUGACACAGAUCAUCUAUGCUUUGCGAUGCGCUCUCGAAGAGUCGAGUUGUUUGGGAAUGCAGCUCAAAAUGGGUGGUAAAUUCCAUCUAAAGCUAAAUAUUGGCGAGAGACCGAUAGCGAACAAGUACCGUGAGGGAAAGAUGAAAAGCACUUUGGAAAGAGAGUUAAACAGUACGUGAAAUUGUUGAAAGGGAAACGAUUGAAGUCAGUCAUGUGGUUCGAGAUUCAGCCGGUUCUGCCGGUGUAUUUCUCGAGCUACAGGCCAGCAUCAGUUUCGACCGGUGGAAAAAGUUGGAGGGAACGUGGCAUCCUCGGAUGUGUUAUAGCCCUCUUUCAGAUGCAUCGGACGGGACUGAGGAACGCAGCGUGCCUUUAUGGUCGGUCUUCGGACACGAACGCGCUUAGGAUGCUGGCAUAAUGGCUUUAAACGACCCGUC